UGGCACUAUUUGCACAGUCGGGUGCAUCAGGAAGUUUGCUUGAGGAAUGGGGAAAAUAGAAAGUCUGACAGGAAUGGGGACAUUCCUUGUUACCUUUUCCCCCUGCAAGCUGUGAAAGCCGAUGCAGUAAUUCCAGCACACCUACGUUUGCCCAGGUGUCUGGCCAGUUACCUUAAACACUUACAACCCACACAAUGACACAAAGCCACUGUCAGCCAAUAGACGAGCUGAAGGGAGGCGACACGCCCAAUGGAGAGCAGUCGGCAGUGAUGGCUUGCGUGCCAUUGGUUCUGAGUCGAAGCCCAUGGCCCGGAGGAGCGGCUGAGGAGGACGGCGCAGGCUCCUGCAGUAACGCAGCUUUUGUGGAGAAAGGUGACGGCUUCGCCACAACACUCCCUUUCAUAGCCAUAUCACAAAUAAGAAGUACGUAUUCAUUAUUAUAUUAAGUGUAUCCAUAUUUCUAUUGCUGCUAGUAAUUUUAUAUAUAUAUAUAUAUAUAUAUAUAUAUGAAUAUACAUAUAUAUACAGCACAGACACCCCAGUUGUUUACAAUUAGAGUUUCUGGAAUUUUGGUUUAAACUGGUAAAACCUGAAAUUCCCUUUAAUUUUGGCCAAACAUUUGAACCCAUUGAUCAUUCCUAUCAUGACGACAAUGCAGAGAAAAUAUUUUGAAAGCUGAACAUUGACUAUAACAGAACGGAGGUCAGUUCCAUAUGUUCACAUCUCAUAAGAAUGUAUGGAAUACUCUGCUACAGUUGAUUCUAGGAGCUUAAAUUCUUCUUAUUUAAAAUGUUUAUAUUAUAUAUAAUUUUGUUAUUAUGUUUUUAUGCUGUUAUGUCAAGACUCCUAUUCAUUUUUGUGUACUGUACUGUGUGCGAAUCCGACCAAAUUUAGAGAAGAAAGAGAAUCUUACAGCCAUAAUUAGGCACAACGGGAACAAAAACCCUUUUAUAACAAUUGCCUUCUGUCUUUAGACAAGCUAAGAUUAAGGAUGGAUUUAAGGAGAAAACUCAUGCGAGAUUUGAAUGUGUAGUGUUUAAUAAGAUAAUGACUGCAGCAUGACACAAGACAAUUGGAAGAAUUUUUUUUCUUUCCCAGAACUCAUGAUAUUAUGUUAAGGUCGAUUGUCUUUUGUAGGCAGCUGGCUGUUGAAGAUGAAUCAGACCUGAAUUAAGAGUUAACUUCACAAUACAUUUUCUAAUCCUUGGCAUUAAUAUUGGUUAUAUCCGUAUUAAAAGGCUUAUCAUUUGUUUUAAUAAGUAAAAACAGGAGUCACUUUGAAAUGCUUUUAUGGUUUUUAACCUACCUCUUGUUACUAUAUCUUACCCUCACACACCUCUACUUUUCUCUGGAAUAAAGAAAAUGACAUUUUCUAAUUCUUCUAAUCUCUAUCUCAAUCACCUAAGUGCAUGAAUGCAGGCUUAACUUAAGUCAUCUAGCCAAACUCCUGCUCAGCACUAUUACACUUACAGGUGCACUUUCCGAAACUGCUAACCUCUCACUGUAGUUCCUGGUAAUGGGAAUGACUAAUAAAAGUUUGUACUGCAGGGAACUAUACACAGUUGAACUUGGAGGAAUGAUUAUAAUAACUUCAGCCAGCAAUGUGUGUCAUCCUGCCAGGAAGUAGAUGUGUUUCUGGCUGUGUUGGUUCCAACUGUGACCAGCAGCCUUAGAGAAUGGCAUGUAACUGCCUGUAGGGAGAAAGGGAUGGAGGGAGA